UACGUAGGGCGCAAGCGUUGUCCGGAUUUAUUGGGCGUAAAGAGCUCGUAGGCGGUCUGUCGCGUCGGAUGUGAAAACCCGGAACUCAACUCCGGGCCUGCAUUCGAUACGGGCAGACUUGAGUACUGCAGGGGAGACUGGAAUUCCUGGUGUAGCGGUGGAAUGCGCAGAUAUCAGGAGGAACACCGGUGGCGAAGGCGGGUCUCUGGACAGUUCCUGACGCUGAGGCACGAAGGCCAGGGGAGCAAACGGG
rnacentral:rRNA from 1 species